rnacentral:rRNA from 1 species
GACGAACGCUGGCGGCGUGCUUAACACAUGCAAGUCGAACGGAAAGGCCCUGCUUUUGUGGGGUUCUCGAGUGGCGAACGGGUGAGUAACACGUGUGUAACCUGCCCUUGACUUUGGGAUAACUUCAGGAAACUGGGGCUAAUACCGGAUAGGAGCUCCUGCUGCAUGGUGGGGUUUGGAAAGUUUCGGCGGUUGGGGAUGGACUCGCGGCUUAUCCGCUUGUUGGUGGGGUAGUGGCUUACCAAGGCUUUGACGGGUAGCCGGCCUGAGAGGGUGACCGGCCACAUUGGGACUGAGGUACGGCGCAGACUCGUACGGGAGGCAGCAGUGGGGAAUAUUGCACAAUGGGCGGGAGCCUGAUGCAGCAGCGCCGCGUGCGGGAUGACGGCCUUCGGGUUGUGAACCGCUUUCGCCUGUGACGAAGCGUGAGUGACGGUAAUGGGUAAAGAAGCACCGGCUAACUACGUG